ACGGGUGAGUAAUGUCUGGGAAACUGCCUGAUGGAGGGGGAUAACUACUGGAAACGGUAGCUAAUACCGCAUGACCUCGCAAGAGCAAAGUGGGGGACCUUCGGGCCUCACGCCAUCGGAUGUGCCCAGAUGGGAUUAGCUAGUAGGUGAGGUAAUGGCUCACCUAGGCGACGAUCCCUAGCUGGUCUGAGAGGAUGACCAGCCACACUGGAACUGAGACACGGUCCAGACUCCUACGGGAGGCAGCAGUGGGGAAUAUUGCACAAUGGGCGCAAGCCUGAUGCAGCCAUGCCGCGUGUGUGAAGAAGGCCUUCGGGUUGUAAAGCACUUUCAGCGAGGAGGAAGGGUUCAGUGUUAAUAGCACUGUGCAUUGACGUUACUCGCAGAAGAAGCACCGGCUAACUCCGUGCCAGCAGCCGCGGUAAUACGGAGGGUGCAAGCGUUAAUCGGAAUUACUGGGCGUAAAGCGCACGCAGGCGGUUUGUUAAGUCAGAUGUGAAAUCCCCGAGCUUAACUUGGGAACUGCAUUUGAAACUGGCAGGCUAGAGUCUUGUAGAGGGGGGUAGAAUUCCAGGUGU
rnacentral:rRNA from 1 species